rnacentral:misc_RNA from 1 species
AUGAAAGAAAAUCUUCGAAAACCGCCGGAGCAUUUUCCACUGGGAUCUCAUUCCACCAUUUUGCACGUACCCAAGAGCUCCACAAAUUAUUCGUUUCGAAUUCGAAAUAUUCAUAAUGUGAAGUGUUCGAUCGGCGGAGUUGUGUGAUUUUGUGGAAUAUCUCGAUUUGUACAAUUUUAAUCCAGUUAUUCAUGAUACGGAGGCCAAUGUGCUGGGAGUUCGAAUGUUUUUGAAUAAAAAGAUAAUCGCCCUACAAUCUCCCACAUUUCUUGCUCUGAUUGAAAAUCAAACGGUCUUGUCGUCAGAACAACUGGCAAAUUGCAAAUUUGAAGAUAUUCACGAUUUUCUUCAAUUAAUUCAUGGAGUGGAUCUUAGUUUGGAUGAAGACAAUAUAGAUACAUUUUUAAUGCUUGCGAAGCGGCUUGAUGUGCCACGUGUCAUAGAUUACUGUAAACGAGAGUUGAUUGCUGGAUGUGGAGGAAUUAGUAAAAAGAAAGUUACAGAAAUUGCGAUUAAAUGGGCUUUUUGGGAUGUUAUGCCUGAAAUCGUCGCUUCAGCACAUACUCUGGCAGAUUUGAAGAAACAAAACUGGGAUUUAAAUGAACUUCCACUGAAUGUUUUUGAUAUGAUUACUCGGAAAUGUUUUGAAUAA